GAAGUGCGAUAAGCAAUGCGAAUUGCAGAAUUCCGCGAGUCAUCAGAUCUUUGAACGCAAAUGGCGCCGGAGGGAUAUCCUUCUGGCAUGUCUGUUUCAGUGUCUGAGAGGUUUCACCAACAUCUUAAUGUGAUUGACAGCAGCAGCAGCAGCAAGCAAUUGUUGUGGUUGGUGUUGUCUCUCAUGAAAGAUGCGCGAGUGGAUCUUUCGGUCCAAUGAAGUGGUCACAUCACUCGUAUGUGAUUUCAUUGGGAGCACCGAAUUAUCCGCCAUGCUCGCGGUGUCAUCAUAUAAUAUAUGACGAAAGCAAGAAAGAAAGAAAGAGCUUCUUUCUUCUUCUUCUUUGGUUGUAUUUUUUUUCUCUCUCUACACCCUGCAUCUGAGAUAGGCAAGAUCACCCGCUGAACUUAAGC
rnacentral:misc_RNA from 1 species